AACGAACGCUGGCGGCAUGCCUAACACAUGCAAGUCGAACGUGAUCCGGGGCUUGCUCCGGUGAAAGUGGCGGACGGGUGAGUAACGCGUGGGAACCUGCCCAGUGGUCGGGGAUAACUGCGGGAAACUGCAGCUAAUACCCGGUAAGCCCUCGAGCUUUGGCUUGGGGGGAAAGAUUCAUCGCCAUUGGAGGGGCCCGCGUCGGAUUAGGUAGUUGGUGGGGUAAAGGCCUACCAAGCCUUCGAUCCGAGCUGGUCUGAGAGGAUGAUCAGCCACACUGGGACUGAGAUACGGCCCAGACUCCUACGGGAGGCAGCAGUGGGGAAUAUUGGACAAUGGGCGCAAGCCUGAUCCAGCAAUGCCGCGUAAGUGAAGAAGGCCGUUA
rnacentral:rRNA from 1 species